UGGGGAAUAUUGCACAAUGGGCGCAAGCCUGAUGCAGCCAUGCCGCGUGUAUGAAGAAGGCCUUCGGGUUGUAAAGUACUUUCAGCGGGGAGGAAGGCGAUAAGGUUAAUAACCUUGUCGAUUGACGUUACCCGCAGAAGAAGCACCGGCUAACUCCGUGCCAGCAGCCGCGGUAAUACGGAGGGUGCAAGCGUUAAUCGGAAUUACUGGGCGUAAAGCGCACGCAGGCGGUAUGUCAAGUCGGAUGUGAAAUCCCCGGGCUCAACCUGGGAACUGCAUGCGAAACUGGCAGGCUAGAGUCUUGUAGAGGGGGGUAGAAUUCCAGGUGUAGCGGUGAAAUGCGUAGAGAUCUGGAGGAAUACCGGUGGCGAAGGCGGCCCCCUGGACAAAGACUGACGCUCAGGUGCGAAAGCGUGGGGAGCAAACA
rnacentral:rRNA from 1 species